AAAUAUUAGAUUUAGACAAGAACUUGGCAUUCUGGUAAACCAUAGUCUGUAGGAAAAUGAGAGCUUUAACAUUCUUGACUAUUUUGUCAUUGACAUUGCUGUUAGGGGCGGAACACGCGUAAUCGUAUUCGAUGCAAGUGUGUCCACAGAUACAGUGUCCAAAUGAUGGUAACAUUCCCAACAAUUGCAGGGUGCCUAACUAUGUGACUGGAUCAGACGGGACUACCAAUUGCAGAGUAUGUGAUUCUAACGGCUGUGCCUAUAGUUGAGGGGAAAUAACAGAAAAUACAUUGCCUAUAUGUAUUUCAAGUGUUGGCUGUUAUAGUGAAUAAAAAGCAAAGACAUAU